rnacentral:rRNA from 1 species
UACAGAGGGUGCGAGCGUUGUUCGGAAUUACUGGGCGUAAAGCGCGCGUAGGCGGCCUUUUAAGUCUGCUGGUGAAAUGCCGGGGCUCAACCCCGUGCCCGCCACAGAUACUGGGAGGCUGGAGACGAGUAGAGGCAAGCGGAAUUCCGGGUGUAGCGGUGAAAUGCGUAGAGAUCAGGCAGAACACCUGGGGCGAAGGCGGCCAGCUGGGCCGUCCCUGACGCUGAGGCGCGAAGGCGUGGGGAGCGAACGGG